rnacentral:rRNA from 1 species
GAUGAACGCUGGCGGCAUGCUUUACACAUGCAAGUCGGACGGGAAGUGGUGUUUCCAGCGGCGGACGGGUGAGUAACGCGUAAGAACCUGCCCUUGGGAGGGGAACAACAGCUGGAAACGGCUGCUAAUACCCCGUAGGCUGAGGAGCGAAAGGAGGAAUCCGCCCAAGGAGGGGCUCGCGUCUGAUUAGCUAGUUGGUGAGGUAAUAGCUUACCAAGGCCGUGAUCAGUAGCUGGUCCGAGAGGAUGAUCAGCCACACUGGGACUGAGACAAGGCCCAGACUCCUACGGGAGGCAGCAGUGGGGAAUUUUCCGCAAUGGGCGAAAGCCUGACGGAGCAAUGCCGCGUGGAGGUAAAAGGCCUACGGGUCAUGAACUUCUUUUCCUGGAGAAGAAACAAUGACGGUAUCUGGGGAAUAAGCAUCGGCUAACUCUGUG